AUUAACAAAUAAAAAAAAAGAAAAGAAAAAGCUAUCAUUUUUCUCUUCCCCUUCACCGAAAUAUGCAGCAAAGAAAGAGUUUUGAAGCUGGAAAAUUUCAGCAACAUAUUUCCCUUGCUUAUGAUGAAAAUUGAGACUUGGACCUAGAACGGAAAGAAAUCGAUUUAUGGACGAGUAUGUCCUUUUCACAUUUGUGGUAUCGAGAGUUUCCAGGUUAGCUCGGGUUGGAGGCCGUCAGAGAUAUUAUCACCCUAUCGAGUUAACGUUAUCGGAGUAAGUAAACUCAAGUGAUUCGAGUCUAUGGCAUGUAUAGGGUUUUAAUGUGUGAGUAUGUAAUAUUAUGAUUUAGCCAAAGGCAUUGGCUUGUUAUUAAGGUAGUAUUAGUCAUGUAAAUUGGCCUAUGUCGGCUAAUGACAUUAUGGGCCCAUAUGAUUAUUCUUAUGCAAGUAUGUUAUUAUCUCUUGUGAUGUGGCUUACAACAUGUAUGCCUAGAGAUUGAAUUGAGAUUCAUUGAUGAGCUAGUAACUAAUGCAGGAUUAAGUGAUUGGUAAAUAGUUAAUAA